rnacentral:lncRNA from 1 species
CUGUUUGUUUCCCAUUCUGCGAUCGGCAGUUUUGCGGACGGAAGAUGGAGAGCCAGCGUUAUCUUUGCUAUUACUGGAUUCCAAAUGGAUGCAUCCUAUUCUUAUUGAUCUGCUUGAUACCAGGUAAAAGUGUCAUACAUUGCGCUAUUGAUGGAGAUGUCAUCGAGAAGUCUUUAUGCCACUGGUUUGAGAAUUGUAUUACCUUAAGUGUUUUUUAUCUCCUGGCAGCUUCAGUGUAAAGGGAACCACGCAGCUGACAGCCAUAGUGGGAGUGCUCGGUGUUUACAGCAGAACUGGGGCUGUAGGGGAAAAAGAUGAAAAUCUCUUGCAAAAUGUUAAAAUGGCUGCUGACUUGGAGGCCUCUGGCUUCCUGAAAGAUUGGAGGACAGAAAACACUUUAGUUACAGGAGCUCUAUUACUCCUAACGUUGCUUUUUGCAAUUGAAUGUGGCACUGCAUAGAAUAAUCUUGGUUCUGGAGACUGCGCAGCAGGCAAGUGUGCUCCUCAGUGACUUGACUCCUCUCUGCGCUUGCGGAGCAGCACCGAAUCGCUUCCAGCAGCUCACAAAUACCCUUUGGAGAGGUAAACAAUGCGGCAAAGAGAACCUCUUCUGAAAUGUGUGUCGCCUUUGCAGAUGCUCGAGGUUCUUCAUACCCAAUAUGUCACUGAAAUAAAAACCGAAGUAUCUUAG